UCACCUCCCUUGACUUCAAAAACAGGGAUAACCAAGUACAACAGUUAUCUCUUUAGAAACUCUUGUUCCAGAUAAAUCUGGACUUGAACCAGGUAUUAGAAGUUGAGAGAAGUUGACCAUGUGAAGAUGGAGAAGGGGUGAUAGGAUUCCAGACAAGGACAAAAAUUUGAUCAAAAUCUCAGAGGCCUGAUGCAGAUUGAACUUGCAGAAGCCAGCUACAUACUGAAAA